rnacentral:rRNA from 1 species
GGGAGCUUGCUCCCAAAGAUUAGCGGCGGACGGGUGAGUAACACGUGGGUAACCUGCCUGUAAGAUUGGGAUAACUCCGGGAAACCGGAGCUAAUACCGGAUAACAAUUUGAACCGCAUGGUUCAAAUUUGAAAGACGGCUUUUGCUGUCACUUACAGAUGGACCCGCGGCGCAUUAGCUAGUUGGUGAGGUAACGGCUCACCAAGGCAACGAUGCGUAGCCGACCUGAGAGGGUGAUCGGCCACACUGGGACUGAGACACGGCCCAGACUCCUACGGGAGGCAGCAGUAGGGAAUCUUCCGCAAUGGACGAAAGUCUGACGGAGCAACGCCGCGUGAACGAUGAAGGCCUUCGGGUCGUAAAGUUCUGUUGUUAG